AAAACUAUCAACAACGGAUCUCUUGGUUCCAGCAUCGAUGAAGAACGCAGCGAAAUGCGAUAAGUAAUGUGAAUUGCACAAUGCAGUGAAUCAUCGAAUCUUUGAACGCACAUUGCGCCCCUCGGUAUUCCGGGGGGCAUGCCUGUUCGAGCGUCAUU
rnacentral:rRNA from 1 species